rnacentral:rRNA from 1 species
AUGGUUGUAUGUAGAGUACUGCUGGCUCCGGGGCUGUACUACUGCGGCCUGCGUGCCACCGGCGCCGCCUACGCCGUCAACUUCCUCAACCUCAUCCCCGUCGCCACCUUCAUCAUCGCUGCCGCGCUCCGGGUCGAGCAGAUCUCCCUCGCCGCCUGGCCCAGUGGGAUGAAGCUCCUCGGAGCGGUGGUGGGCGUCGUCGGCACCAUGGUCGCCAGCCUCUGCAAGGGCACCCCUCUGCUGCUGCCGCACCUCGGGAUGUCCGCCCACGCCAACCCCCACCUCGCCGCGCCCCACGGCGACGGCGACAUGUUCGUCAGCACGCUGUUCCUGUGCGGGAGCUGCGUCAGCUACGCGCUCUGGUUCGUCGUGCAGGCUAAGGUCGCCAAGGUGUUCCCGUACCGGUACUCGGCCACGGCGCUCACGUGCCUCGUGGGCUGCCUGCAGUCCACCCUGCCCGUCUCCGUGGCGAUCAUCCUCGCCCCCGCCGGCGACCUAUAUGGAUGGGCGCCCAUGUGGACGCUGCGCUGGGACCUGCAGCUGGCCACGGUGCUCUACUCCGGCGUGUUCAACACGGGCGUCACGUUCGUGCUCGUGUCCUGGGCGGUGGAGCGCCGGGGGCCGGUGUACCCGGCCAUGUUCAACUCCCUGUCGCUCGUCGCCACCACCGCCGUCGACGCCGUCGUGUUCGGCACCGACGCCUACCUCGGUGGCGUGCUGGGGGCGGCGCUCGUCGUCAUCGGACUCUGCGCGUUCCUGUGGGGCAAAAGCAAGGAGCUCGCGGCUGCCAAGGUGCACGGCGGGGCGGCGGUGGGCUCGCGGGAGACGGCGCUCGGGGAGGCGGCGGUGCGCUCGGGCGCCGCAUCAGGCGGCGGCAGCGAGGUGGGGAGGCGGCGCUGCGCUCCAGGGAUGCAGCAGCGAGGCGUCGAGGCGGCGGUGCCCUCGGGCGCCGCAUCAGGCGGCGACAUCGAAGCGGGGAGGCGGCGCUGCGCUCCGAGGAUGCAGCAGCGAGGCGUCGAGGCGUCGAGGCGGACCUGUGCUCGGGCUCCGCAUCAGGCGGCGGCAGCGAGGCAGGAGGCGCACGGGGAGAUGAAGGAGGAGAAAAUGGAGAAGAAGCGCAUCUCUGAAAUUCACAGUUUUAAACCCAAAGAGAUACAUCUAGACAAUGCUCGCAUGAGUGGUUCCAGUGUCAUAUACGCCAACAUGGCAAAUUGGCUACCAGGUUGGAGAUUUGGGAUCGGAUGCUGCUCCAAGAACGAGGGACCAAGGGAGCUGCACAGAUUUGGAACAACUUCCAGAACAAGCACCAAGCAUUUUGGUCAGGUUAACUUUGUUCUCCAAUAUAGGUGGCGUAUGUUUGUGCAAAAUGAUUAUGAAAGGACUUCUGGGCGCUCUCCCUGCAACGGGACUACUUGGGCGUCUCCGACGGCAGCAUGCUUACUGAGGCUGAAGACUAGCACGGUUGAUGAGCUAAAGUGGCGGGUGGAGCUGGACCGCAAGUCCAUGGCGCUCGUGUGGAAGGAGCUGGAGGAGGAGCGGAUCACGUUGGCGGUGGCGGCCGCCCAGGCCAUGGCCAUGAUCACCAAUCUGCAGGAGGAGAAGGUGGUGAUGCGGACGGAGGCGGCGCAAUAUCGAUUUGUCAUGGAGGAGCAGAGUGCGUAUGAUUGUGACGAGGCUGAGUGUCUGGCUGCUGAGAAGUGCUUUGUUUUGGGCAAGCCAAAAUACUUGAAAAAAAAGAGAGAAAAUACUCUUCCCAACCAAACAACCAGCUAUUUGUAA